rnacentral:rRNA from 1 species
UGCACCGAAGCUGCGGCAGCGACGCUUAUGCGUUGUUGGGUAGGGGAGCGUUCUGUAAGCCUGUGAAGGUGUGCUGUGAGGCAUGCUGGAGGUAUCAGAAGUGCGAAUGCUGACAUAAGUAACGAUAAAGCGGGUGAAAAGCCCGCUCGCCGGAAGACCAAGGGUUCCUGUCCAACGUUAAUCGGGGCAGGGUGAGUCGACCCCUAAGGCGAGGCCGAAAGGCGUAGUCGAUGGGAAACAGGUUAAUAUUCCUGUACUUGGUGUUACUGCGAAGGGGGGACGGAGAAGGCUAUGUUGGCCGGGCGACGGUUGUCCCGGUUUAAGCGUGUAGGCUGGUUUUCCAGGCAAAUCCGGAAAAUCAAGGCUGAGGCGUGAUGACGAGGCACUACGGUGCUGAAGCAACAAAUGCCCUGCUUCCAGGAAAAGCCUCUAAGCAUCAGGUAACAUCAAAUCGUACCCCAAACCGACACAGGUGGUCAGGUAGAGAAUACCAAGGCGCUUGAGAGAACUCGGGUGAAGGAACUAGGCAAAAUGGUGCCGUAACUUCGGGAGAAGGCACGCUGAUAUGUAGGUGAAGUCCCUCGCGGAUGGAGCUGAAAUCAGUCGAAGAUACCAGCUGGCUGCAACUGUUUAUUAAAAACACAGCACUGUGCAAACACGAAAGUGGACGUAUACGGUGUGACGCCUGCCCGGUGCCGGAAGGUUAAUUGAUGGGGUCAGCGCAAGCGAAGCUCUUGAUCGAAGCCCCGGUAAACGGCGGCCGUAACUAUAACGGUCCUAAGGUAGCGAAAUUCCUUGUCGGGUAAGUUCCGACCUGCACGAAUGGCGUAAUGAUGGCCAGGCUGUCUCCACCCGAGACUCAGUGAAAUUGAACUCGCUGUGAAGAUGCAGUGUACCCGCGGCAAGACGGAAAGACCCCGUGAACCUUUACUAUAGCUUGACACUGAACAUUGAGCCUUGAUGUGUAGGAUAGGUGGGAGGCUUAGAAGUGUGGACGCCAGUCUGCAUGGAGCCGACCUUGAAAUACCACCCUUUAAUGUUUGAUGUUCUAACGUUGACCCGUAAUCCGGGUUGCGGACAGUGUCUGGUGGGUAGUUUGACUGGGGCGGUCUCCUCCUAAAGAGUAACGGAGGAGCACGAAGGUUGGCUAAUCCUGGUCGGACAUCAGGAGGUUAGUGCAAUGGCAUAAGCCAGCUUGACUGCGAGCGUGACGGCGCGAGCAGGUGCGAAAGCAGGUCAUAGUGAUCCGGUGGUUCUGAAUGGAAGGGCCAUCGCUCAACGGAUAAAAGGUACUCCGGGGAUAACAGGCUGAUACCGCCCAAGAGUUCAUAUCGACGGCGGUGUUUGGCACCUCGAUGUCGGCUCAUCACAUCCUGGGGCUGAAGUAGGUCCCAAGGGUAUGGCUGUUCGCCAUUUAAAGUGGUACGCGAGCUGGGUUUAGAACGUCGUGAGACAGUUCGGUCCCUAUCUGCCGUGGGCGCUGGAGAACUGAGGGGGGCUGCUCCUAGUACGAGAGGACCGGAGUGGACGCAUCACUGGUGUUCGGGUUGUCAUGCCAAUGGCACUGCCCGGUAGCUAAAUGCGGAAGAGAUAAGUGCUGAAAGCAUCUAAGCACGAAACUUGCC